rnacentral:rRNA from 1 species
AAUAGAUACCCAGGUAGUACACGCUGUAAACGUUGGGCGCUAGAUGUGGGGACCUUUCCACGGUUUCCGUGUCGUAGCUAACGCAUUAAGCGCCCCGCCUGGGGAGUACGGCCGCAAGGCUAAAACUCAAAGGAAUUGACGGGGGCCCGCACAAGCGGCGGAGCAUGCGGAUUAAUUCGAUGCAACGCGAAGAACCUUACCAAGGCUUGACAUAACCGAGAACACCGUAGAAAUACGGGACUCUUUGGACACUCGGUUACAGGUGGUGCAUGGUUGUCGUCAGCUCGUGUCGUGAGAUGUUGGGUUAAGUCCCGCAACGAGCGCAACCCUCGUCGCAUGUUGCCAGCACGUCAUGGUGGGAACUCAUGUGAGACUGCCGGGGUCAACUCGGAGGAAGGUGGGGAUGACGUCAAAUCAUCAUGCCCCUUAUGUCUUGGGCUUCACGCAUGCUACAAUGGCCGGUACAAAGGGCUGCGAUGUCGUAAGGCGGAGCGAAUCCCAAAAAGCCGGUCUCAGUUCGGAUUGAGGU